rnacentral:rRNA from 1 species
AUGGAUAUUGUUGACCAUAAAAAAGAACCUAUCAACAAGAGCCCGAAGGUCAUGUCGUUGGAAGAGACUAAAACCUCAGCAAGUUCUAUACAGCCUACAGAUGCGCAGAUAGAAAUAGCCAAUUUACGUCAUACCAAACCAAGAAGAGCAAAUACAAAUAUUACACCACAAGAGAUGAGGUGCCUUAGGCAUGAUGAUGUGUUUUUGCAUGAUGAUGUAAUAAAUGCAUAUAUAUACUGUAUAAGUGCCCAGGAGCAUCUGCAAGAUAGAGUGGGUGGAAUGGUACAUAUUGCAAGCACGUUUGUGUCUUCCCUGCUAAAGAACGAUGAGGUAGACCGGGCAACACAUCGCCACAUUGUAAAACGAGUGAAUGCUUUUUUGGAGCAUGACAUGGUAUUCCUUCCAGUUAACAUCAGAAAAUGCCACUGGUAUCUAUCAGUAAUCAAUGCGAAGAAACGAGAGAUACAGGUACUGGACUCGCUUGGAGUUGGAAUGAGCCGAAGUGACCUCACUAAGAUGUUACAAGGACUUGACCAGCAUCUAAAAAUCGCAUGCAAUAUGCCAGAGUUUAAGAGAGGUGAUAGGUGGCAGGACCUCGAUAUUACGAAUUGGAAAGUCGUAGAACAGCUCCAAGAGCCAAUCCAAACAGACGGGAGGACAUGA